rnacentral:rRNA from 1 species
UGCCAGCAGCCGCGGUAAUACGUAGGGGGCCAGCGUUGCUCGGAAUUACUGGGCGUAAAGGGUUCGUAGGUGGUGCGGCAGGUUGGAAGUGAAAUCUCUGGGCUUAACUCAGAGGCUGCUUUCAAAACUGCCGUGCUCGAGUGCGAGAGAGGCCAGUGGAAUUGCAGGUGUAGCGGUGAAAUGCGUAGAUAUCUGCAGGAACACCCGUGGCGAAGGCGGCUGGCUGGAUCGCAACUGACACUGAGGAACGAAAGCUAGGGGAGCAAACAGGAUUAGAUACCCUGGUAGUCCUAGCCCUAAACCAUCAGAACUUGGGGUGGCCCGCGUAGGCGGGUCGUCCCGUAGCUAACGCGUUAAGUUCUGCGCCUGGGGAGUACGGUCGCAAGACUAAACUCAAAGGAAUGAACGGGC